rnacentral:rRNA from 1 species
AUUGAACGCUGGCGGCAGGCCUAACACAUGCAAGUCGAACGGUAGCACAGAGAGCUUGCUCUCGGGUGACGAGUGGCGGACGGGUGAGUAAUGUCUGGGAAACUGCCUGAUGGAGGGGGAUAACUACUGGAAACGGUAGCUAAUACCGCAUAACGUCGCAAGACCAAAGAGGGGGACCUUCGGGCCUCUUGCCAUCAGAUGUGCCCAGAUGGGAUUAGCUAGUAGGUGGGGUAACGGCUCACCUAGGCGACGAUCCCUAGCUGGUCUGAGAGGAUGACCAGCCACACUGGAACUGAGACACGGUCCAGACUCCUACGGGAGGCAGCAGUGGGGAAUAUUGCACAAUGGGCGCAAGCCUGAUGCAGCCAUGCCGCGUGUAUGAAGAAGGCCUUCGGGUUGUAAAGUACUUUCAGCGGGGAGGAAGGUGUUGUGGUUAAUAACCGCAGCAAUUGACGUUACCCGCAGAAGAAGCACCGGCUAACUCCGUGCCAGCAGCCGCGGUAAUACGGAGGGUGCAAGCGUUAAUCGGAAUUACUGGGCGUAAAGCGCACGCAGGCGGUCUGUCAAGUCGGAUGUGAAAUCCCCGGGCUCAACCUGGGAACUGCAUUCGAAACUGGCAGGCUAGAGUCUUGUAGAGGGGGGUAGAAUUCCAGGUGUAGCGGUGAAAUGCGUAGAGAUCUGGAGGAAUACCGGUGGCGAAGGCGG